UACGUAGGGUGCAAGCGUUAAUCGGAAUUACUGGGCGUAAAGCGUGCGCAGGCGGUUGUGCAAGACCGAUGUGAAAUCCCCGGGGCUUAACCUGGGAAUGGCAUUGGUGACUGCACGGCUAGAGUGUGUCAGAGGGGGGUAGAAUUCCACGUGUAGCAGUGAAAUGCGUAGAGAUGGUGGAGGAACACCCGAUGGCGAAGGCAGCCCCCCUGGGUCAAGAUUGACGCUCGAUGCACGAAAGCGUGGGGAGCAAACAGG
rnacentral:rRNA from 1 species